rnacentral:rRNA from 1 species
GGGCUGCAGUAUAUUGACUGUACAAAGGUAGCAUAAUCAUUAGUCAUUUAAUUGAUGACUUGUAUGAAAGAUUGGAUGAAAUAUAAGCUGUCUCUUUAUUAUUUUAUAGAAUUUAAUUUUUUAAUUAAAAAGUUAAAAUAAAUUAAAAAGACGAGAAGACCCUAUAGAGUUUUAUAUUUAAAGUAAUUGAGAUUAUUUAUAAAGUUUUUAAUUAAAAUUAUUUUAAUUAUUUUGUUGGGGUGACAAAAAAAUAUAAAAAACUUUUUUUAUUAUUUAACAUAAAUAAGUGAGUAUAUGAUCCAAUAUUAUUGAUUAUAAGAAAAAAUUACCUUAGGGAUAACAGCGUAAUUUUUUUUUUUAGUUCGAAUAAAAAAAAGAGUUUGCGACCUCGAUGUUGGAUUAAGAUAAAAUUUAAAUG